UCCCUGUUCUGGGACUCGUUCCAUGCAUCCUCUGCAUCUUUAGGUCUUUAAACGGGGCUUCUUGCUCGUUCAUCCUCCCAGUUGCGGCUGUAUCUCUUUGUAAUGAGCCACGGUCCUUCACUUUUCCAGGGCCGCCAUAGACUCUUCGUUGUAGCCCCAUACAGCGUCUUGCCUGAUGGUAUGUCUGGUCCAGGAAUCAUUCUUCCUACAAUGCAGAGGGACGACCUGUGUGCCAAAUGCCGCUGAUGGACUUGUGGGUGGAGCGCCAUAGGGAGGCGAGUCGGCUGUGGUGUAGGUGGAGAGCAAGCCUCAACAUGGCAGCCUGAGAUGAUGGAUGCUGGGCAGGAGAGCGGUCAAGGUGCUACAUGCAGCCUCAGAGGGGUGGAGCUUCAUGCUGAGAAAUGGUUUGAGCGGUGCUGUGCGGGCUGCCUUUGCAAUGGGAAGAGCAGUUGAGGUGCCCCAGGUGAUGAUGGCUGCUGCAUUGGAUGUUCGAAUUGGGACAGAACAGAUGAUAAUCAAGAGGAACCUGGCACUGCAGGAUCGUCCCAGUUAGCUGACUCGUUUUGAGCUUUUUCUGCCAGGGAUGGCUUCAGACCUUUGGCCCUCUGAAAGU